rnacentral:rRNA from 1 species
AUACAUGCAAGUCGAGCGGACCGACGGGAGCUUGCUCCCUUAGGUCAGCGGCGGACGGGUGAGUAACACGUGGGUAACCUGCCUGUAAGACUGGGAUAACUCCGGGAAACCGGGGCUAAUACCGGAUGCUUGAUUGAACCGCAUGGUUCAAUCAUAAGAGGUGGCUUUUAGCUACCACUUGCAGAUGGACCCGCGGCGCAUUAGCUAGUUGGUGAGGUAACGGCUCACCAAGGCGACGAUGCGUAGCCGACCUGAGAGGGUGAUCGGCCACACUGGGACUGAGACACGGCCCAGACUCCUACGGGAGGCAGCAGUAGGGAAUCUUCCGCAAUGGACGAAAGUCUGACGGAGCAACGCCGCGUGAGUGAUGAAGGUUUUCGGAUCGUAAAACUCUGUUGUUAGGGAAGAACAAGUACCGUUCGAAUAGGGCGGUACCUUGACGGUACCUAACCAGAAAGCCACGGCUAACUACGUGCCAGCAGCCGCGGUAAUACGUAGGUGGCAAGCGUUGUCCGGAAUUAUUGGGCGUAAAGCGCGCGCAGGCGGUUUCUUAAGUCUGAUGUGAAAGCCCCCGGCUCAACCGGGGAGGGUCAUUGGAAACUGGGGAACUUGAGUGCAGAAGAGGAGAGUGGAAUUCCACGUGUAGCGGUGAAAUGCGUAGAGAUGUGGAGGAACACCAGUGGCGAAGGCGACUCUCUGGUCUGUAA